UACAGGGGGGUGCAAACGUUGCUCGGAAUCAUUGGGCGUAAAGCGCACGUAGGCGGUUCGUUAUGUCGGAUGUGAAAGCCCUUGGCUUAACCGAGGAAGUGCAUCCGAAACUGGCGAGCUAGAGUACGAAAGAGGAUCGCGGAAUUCCCGGUGUAGAGGUGAAAUUCGUAGAUAUCGGGAGGAACACCAGUGGCGAAGGCGGUUGCCUGGGGCUUUGCUGACGCUGAUGCGCGAAAGCGUGGGGGAGCGAUCCGG
rnacentral:rRNA from 1 species